UACGGAGGGGGCUAGCGUUGUUCGGAAUUACUGGGCGUAAAGCGCGCGUAGGCGGCUUCGCACGUUAGAGGUGAAAGCCCGAAGCUCAACUUCGGAAUUGCCUUUAAAACUGCAAAGCUAGAAUCAUGGAGAGGUUAGUGGAAUUCCGAGUGUAGAGGUGAAAUUCGUAGAUAUUCGGAAGAACACCAGGGGCGAAGGCGACUAACUGGGCAUGUAUUGACGCUGAGGUGCGAAAGCGUGGGGAGCAAACAGG
rnacentral:rRNA from 1 species